GUGAACGCUGGCGGUAGGCCUAACACAUGCAAGUCGAACGGCAGCACAGUAAGAGCUUGCUCUUACGGGUGGCGAGUGGCGGACGGGUGAGGAAUACAUCGGAAUCUUCUUUUUCGUGGGGGAUAACGUAGGGAAACUUACGCUAAUACCGCAUACGACCUACGGGUGAAAGCAGGGGAUCUUCGGACCUUGCGCGAUUGAAUGAGCCGAUGUCGGAUUAGCUAGUUGGCGGGGUAAAGGCCCACCAAGGCGACGAUCCGUAGCUGGUCUGAGAGGAUGAUCAGCCACACUGGAACUGAGACACGGUCCAGACUCCUACGGGAGGCAGCAGUGGGGAAUAUUGGACAAUGGGCGCAAGCCUGAUCCAGCCAUACCGCGUGGGUGAAGAAGGCCUUCGGGUUGUAAAGCCCUUUUGUUGGGAAAGAAAAGCAGCAGGUUAAUACCCCGCUGUUCUGACGGUACCCAAAGAAUAAGCACCGGCUAACUUCGUG
rnacentral:rRNA from 1 species